rnacentral:rRNA from 1 species
GAUGAACGCUGGCGGCGUGCCUAAUACAUGCAAGUCGAACGAAACUUCUUUAUCACCGAGUGCUUGCACUCACCGAUAAAGAGUUGAGUGGCGAACGGGUGAGUAACACGUGGGCAACCUGCCCAAAAGAGGGGGAUAACACUUGGAAACAGGUGCUAAUACCGCAUAACCAUAGUUACCGCAUGGUAACUAUGUAAAAGGUGGCUAUACUACCGCUUUUGGAUGGGCCCGCGGCGCAUUAGCUAGUUGGUAGGGUAAAGGCUUACCAAGGCAAUGAUGCGUAGCCGAAUUGAGAGGUUGAUCGGCCACAUUGGGACUGAGACACGGCCCAAACUCCUACGGGAGGCAGCAGUAGGGAAUCUUCCACAAUGGGCGAAAGCCUGAUGGAGCAACGCCGCGUGGGUGAAGAAGGUCUUCGGACCGUAAAACCCUGUUGUUAGAGAAGAAAGUGCGUGAGAGUAACUGUUCACGUUUCGACGGUAUCUAACCAGAAAGCCACUGCUAACUACGUG